rnacentral:lncRNA from 1 species
AUGAACGAGCAACUGGGCUGCUGUUCCCGGUCACCGACGCACACGAAACGUUCAAUAAAUCCACCGAGGGCUGGCUCCUCGUACCUUCCUCCCCUGCCCCAGCUCCCCAGGCCCCACCUCCCCGGCAGGCUGGGAUCCACGUACUUUCGCCGAGAUGAAGUUUGGGGCUCCCCGGGCGGCCACGAGCCGCCCGCCGGCGUGAGGGCUGGCUCUGUUGUUGUUUUCCUCGGGCUGCUUCUGCCCGCGCCCCGGCUCCCGUGCCCCUCUCGGGCGGCGCUGCCUGUGUGUCGAGAGGUGCUGGUUGCAAACGCAGCCUGGCACCGGCUGGCCUACUACUCCCCAGCCCGGCCCCCAGCCUCCCGCCCGCAGGGCACUGCCUCCGCGCCCCCCGCCCCCCGCCGGCGCGGCCGCCGCGACCCUCGCCCCCGACCUCUCCCGACCCAAAGUUUUGGCGGAGGGGGAAAGUGCCCGGGGAGCGGAGCGGCCAGCGGCGGCUCCGGUCGCGCGGGGUUCCCUCCGUCUUCCUCAAGUCCACCCUACCGGCUGCCGCCGCCGCCGCCGCCGCCGCCGCUGCUCCUGCCGCGGAGUCCUUGGGGCUGCAGCCCGGCGGCUCGCAAAUUUGAUGAUCAAACAAAAGUGGAGUUUACAAGUGAAAACAGGUAAUUUUGGAAGGAUAUGGAAUGGCUCUUAGAAAUAAAAGAAAAGCUAAGGAACUUAUCCCA